rnacentral:lncRNA from 1 species
GGGGGGUGGAGGGCAGCCUGGUAGGCACCACAUGGUUCCCGAGAAAUCCGCCACAGUUUGGGAAAUACAGAAAAACAGGAAAUGCUCUGGGCAAAUAUCAAAAUGAGAUUUCCCGUAGUAGGAGGAUUUGAGGAUGGGUCCUGGCAGAGGGUGAAGGAUCAGCGGUGCCUGUGGCCCAGAGGGGGCUCCUGGGCAGACGCUCCUCUACCAGCCUGGGUGUGGAGGAACCCCUGGGCUCCACCAGGCCAGAACCUCAACAAGGACGGGGGAAAGCCAGUUAAGACACUGUCCUCCCACACUACCUGGAGUUUCAAGUCCUAUUGAGGCAAGAGGUUGAUUUCCUGUGUCCCGGGGACCCUGCCUCAGUCUUUGGAGAACUGGGAAACCUGGACCUGCUUUGAAGAAGAGCCAGGGGCUCCCAGGGUCCCUUCCAUCUGCACAGGAUCAUCCAGGAUCCUCAGUGGUGUUCUCCAGCUGAAGCAUCAGCCAGGGGCGCUCCAUGCCUGGCUGGCGGUCAUUUUCCUAUUGGGUAUCAGCUUGCCAGCUGCCUUAAAAUAUUUGAAGAGAAAGCCCUUUUGCUAAGUUUUAUCGUAUGUCCAUGUUGC